rnacentral:rRNA from 1 species
AGUGAACGCUGGCGGUAGGCCUAACACAUGCAAGUCGAACGGCAGCACAGUAAGAGCUUGCUCUUACUGGUGGCGAGUGGCGGACGGGUGAGGAAUACAUCGGAAUCUACUUUUUCGUGGGUGAUAACGUAGGGAAACUUACGCUAAUACCGCAUACGACCUACGGGUGAAAGCAGGGGAUCUUCGGACCUUGCGCGAUUGAAUGAGCCGAUGUCGGAUUAGCUAGUUGGCUGGGUAAAGGCCCACCAAGGCGACGAUCCGUAGCUGGUCUGAGAGGAUGAUGAGCCACACUGGAACUGAGACACGGUCCAGACUCCUACGGGAGGCAGCAGUGGGGAAUAUUGGACAAUGGGCGCAAGCCUGAUCCAGCCAUACCGCGUGGGUGAAGAAGGCCUUCGGGUUGUAAAGACCUUUUGUUGGGAAAGAAAAGCAGCAGGUUAAUACCCCGCUGUUCUGACGGUACCCAAAGAAUAAGCACCGGCUAACUUCGUG